rnacentral:rRNA from 1 species
GAUGAAUGCUGGCGGCGUGCCUAAUACAUGCAAGUCGAGCGGUAAGGCCCUUCGGGGUACACGAGCGGCGGACGGCUGAGUAACGCGUGGGAACAUGCCCCAAAGUGAGGGAUAACGCACCGAAAGGUGUGCUAAUACCGCAUAUGGUCUUCGGAUUAAAGGAUUUAUCCGCUUUGGGAGUGGCCCGCGUACGAUUAGAUUGUUGGUGAAGUAACGGCUCACCAAGUCGACGAUCGUUAACUGGUCUGAGAGGAUGAUCAGUCAGACUGGAACUGAGACACGGUCCAGACUCCUACGGGAGGCAGCAGUAAGGAAUCUUCCACAAUGGGCGAAAGCCUGAUGGAGCAACGCCGCGUGCAGGAUGAAGGCCCUCGGGUCGUAAACUGCUUUUAUGAGUGAAGAAUAUGACGGUAACUCAUGAAUAAGCACCGGCUAACUACGUGCCAGCAGCCGCG